rnacentral:lncRNA from 1 species
AUGCAACUGAGCUUAUCCUUGCUGAGCUCUGCCGGCAGUAAGUGGUGGGUUCCUGCUUGGGGCUCAUGGGUCGGGGCUGCCAGCUCCCCUCCCGCGGUGCCCGCGCCUGCGGGGAGUGAAGAAGUCAGACUGUGGCAGGCAGGGAGAGCACAGGGGGAGGCAGCCUGCAGCAUGGUGCUCACACAGUCCUGGUCAAGCCCGGGCACUGUUGUGCUAAGAGUGGCUUGUAAGUACAAGUUGGUCCAGGACUGGGUCAGUUCUGCAGAAGUGUCCUCCAAAUCCUGGAGCCCUGAUGAAAAAAGCUGCUGGGUUAAAAAGAAAAAAAAAAUCUUUUUUUUUUCCUUCCUUCCUUUUCAGGAUUCCAAAGUCACAGAUUCCGAUUUGACCUUGGGGCCACCUUGGACGCGGGAGGAUUCGCAGGAGACCCUUAGCCUCCGGCCUGAUGGAAGUGCCUUGACUUCAGUCACUGCUACUGACAGGCCUUCUGCUGAGGAGGAGGAGGGAAGCCUUUCUAUAGAGGAGGAAGGCUUUGAGCUGUUGAACUCCACCCAUAAUAAAAUCACUGGCCCCGGCAGGCCAGGGCUUGGCAGGAAUGGCCCACCGGUGGCUGGCAAUUCCAGUGAGUCCAUAGUUGCUGUUACCUCCCUUUCUCCUGAGCAUCGUGAUGCUCGAGUGGCUGAUGGUGCUUUUAUCCUCCCAGGAGUCUCUGCCAAAGUAAACAGACCAGCCGCCAAGAAGGAACGUGCCUCAGAUCCCCAGGAGGAGAAUGUCACCACGGAAAAGCUGAAGGGUGACGUGGGCUCCCGCGUGUGGCUCUCCCCCAGCAAACCCGUCGAUGCCAUUGUUGAUCUGGACGCCCCUUCCUCCUUCUCCAAAUUCUCUCCGUCAGUCAGUCGGACGGCCACCUCUGAUGGAAAUGUACCCAAGGUCCUUCCUGAGCCCCCGGGCAAGGGGGAGGUCAGAAGUACCCUGGAGCAUCCUUCAGAAGCUCCUAUAAGGCCUGAGACUGCCACAAACCCCCGGCAGACAGGGCUCAGCAAAGGUAUCGCACACCGCAAUGUGCCUGGGAGCAAAGCCAGGGGCCUUGCAGACCGCCAAGAGCAGGGAGUCCUGCCAACGAUGGGUGGACAGCAGGUUCGCCUGAAGCCAGGACCGCCGGGGCUGCCAGGACCACCAGGCCUGCCUGUAAGUAGAGGAGGAGAUUGCUGUGGGUGGGAAAGGGUGCAUGGGGAGACGGCCGCAGGCUGGCUGUGUGCAGCGGGACAUCUUGAGGCAGUGGAGCAACAGCCGGAGCAAGUUCAAAGCAUCCCUUAG